UACGGAGGGUGCAAGCGUUGUUCGGAAUUAUUGGGCGUAAAGCGCGCGCAGGCGGUCUGGAAAGUCUAUGGGUGAAAUGCCGGGGCUCAACCUCGUGCAUGCCCAGGAUACUGUCAGACUGGAGACACGUAGAGGCAAGCGGAAUUUCGGGUGUAGCGGUGGAAUGCGUAGAUAUCCGAAAGAACACCGGAGGCGAAGGCGGCUUGCUGGGCGUGAUCUGACGCUGAGGCGCGAAAGCGUGGGGGAGCAAACAGG
rnacentral:rRNA from 1 species